UAGCCUGGGAACCUCCAUAUGCUGAGGGAGCGGACCUAGAAAAGGCAAAAAAACAAAAACAAAAACAAAAACAAACAAAAAAAAAAUCUGGCACAUAGCAAGUACUCAAUAGUCUUUUCCAACGCAUGCAGUUCUGGGGCCAGAGAUCAAACUUGAACCACUGCCGUGACACUGCUAGAUCCUUAACCUGCUGUGCCACUGGGAAGCUGAAUAGUUUUGAAUAAAUGAUCACUCCACAUCACCUAAACCACAUCUAAUACUGUCCUAAAAAUUAGAAAACUGAAGACAGAAGUUAGGUAAGUUCACCUCAAUGUUUUUUGUUUUUUUUUAAUCACAUCUGUAGUUGUAUAACGAUCAUUGAAAUCCAAUUUCACAGGAUUUCCAUCCCACAACCCAUGCACAUUCCCCCACCCCCAACUGUCUCCUCUGGAGACCAUAAGUUUUUCAAUGUCUGUGAGUCAGCAUCUGCUCUGCAAAGUUCACUGUGUCCACACCCCCCAAACUCCAUGUCAGUGAAAGCAUCCGAUGUUGGCGUCUCAUCGACAUGGAGUGGAGCAGGAAGAUGUGGUACAUAUUACACAAUGGAAUGUUAUUCAGCAAUUAAAAGGAACAAAAUCACCUCAAUGUUAUUUUGGCCUUGUCUGCAGCACAUUUAAGUCCCCAGGGCAGGGAGCAAACCUGCACCACAUCAGCAACCUGAACCACAGCAGUGCCAGAUCCUUAACCUGCUGAGUUGCUAGGGAACUCCACAGACAUGUUUUAAUAGGGUACUUGUAGUCAGAAAUAAAGUGCCAAGUACAUACAUAAUUUCUACUUACUGAACAAGUAAUUGAAUAUAGAUUCCAGCCCAUUUUUUUCAUCUACUCUUCAGUCUCUUCUGACAAGCUAGUUAGUGCAUAUGAAAGCAACACUCUAUAUCUGAUAGUUACUGAAGGAACACACUAAAUGUGUAAACUUAAAAAGUAGUGUGAUAGUAGCUUUUUCCUUGUAUGGAGAGGUAGCCGAAGAAAAAUAAAAAAUUUAGGAAUUCAGUUUGAAGGAAAAUGUGUUCCAGGACCCUUAAUAAAUUCUAGUUACCACGGGGAAUUGACUUGAAAUCCAAUAACCUCACAGGUGAACAUGGAUCAAUAGGUGGAAGAGUCCAGAGGCUUCUAACUGGUUUAAACACUCCUCACGCAUCAAGCCUAGAAAAUAUAUCAAGUCUAGAGAAUAUAUUAGGGAGGUGCUGAGACAGCAAUUAUCUCCCCCCUACCCAAUACUCCAUUAAAACAAGCUGGGGGUGGGAGGGAGGCAAAGGCUCAAAGGUCUACAGUCUUCUUUGUGACCAACUACUAGAACCUCAGUCCACACUUAAGCAAAGCAAGCUGUUGAUCUUGUGGUCCAAAUAUACUGAGACCUCAAACUAAACUGCAGGCCAUGUCUGACUACAUAUAUGGUUUUCUUUUCUGUGAUAAGUGAUGGAUUCCUACCUAGGCGGACACUGGAUAUCCUGGUUGCCUACCAGAUCUGACUUACACCUGGUGGUAGACUGGGGCUAUUUGAGCCUGAAGCACAUGGAAAGCCCUCUUUGGCUGGGAUCACUGCUGAGACAUGGGUUUAAGCCCUGGCCUGCAGUGGGUUAAAGAUCUAGUGUUGCCAGAGCUAUCGCCAAAAGAGAAAAAAAAAAAACUCAUGAAUCAAAUUUUAAAUUCAUGGGAGAACACGUGAAUUUACAUCUCAGUUAAGGCCUAUCCCGAAAAAAGGAUAAGCUGUGUCUAUAAAUAUCUCAAGGGAACUCUCACAGUAAUUACACAGUCCUGGACUUACCUGAAUCUGGUUUUACUGAGCAAGGUAGGAUUUGGAACCAUUAGGUUUGGUAGCAUUUUCACCUUGCAUCUGAUUUUCUACUAUCCAGUGUUUUAUUCCUGGUGUAAAGGGAUCAUUACAGAGGAAUGAAAGAGCUGACAUUGUAGGUCUCUCCAAAGGAUAGACUGUCCUGCCUACAUUCAGUGUUUUAACAAAUUCAGGACUUGCCACAGCUGUUCCAGCACAUGUUGGUACACAGACCGAAGGCAAGUCGAGGUCAACAGUUUCCAACUGGGAUUUCAUAAAGGGUUCCCCAAUUAAAAGGACUACCCCAUGAGCUGAAAUACUCCACCCCUUCUUUGCUAUCAUAUUCCUUUGAAUAUAGACACAUGCGAAAACAUGUUCCCCGGCAAAUGUGUAUUUCAAUCCAUUCCCCCAAAAAUUUUUCAUACAUACAGUUGCUCCUCAAACAAGGCAUGGGUUAGGGGGCACUACCUAGUCAAAAAUUCCUAUGGGAGUUCCCGUCUUGGCUCAGGAUCCACAAAGAUGUGGGUUUGAUCCCUGGCCUCAAUCAGUGGGUCAGGGAUCCAGCACUGCUGUGAGCUGUGGUGUAGGUCAGAUUUGGCCUGGAUCCUGUGUUUCUGUGGCUGUGAUGCAGGCCGGCAGCUGCAGCUCUGAUGUGACCCCUAGCCUGGGAACUUCCAUGUGCCAUGGGUUUGGCCCUUAACCAAAAAAAUCCUUAUGUAACUAACUUUAGAGCUGGCCGUUUACAUCCCUGCUUUCACAUCUGACAGUUCAACUAACUGUUGAAAACCAUAACAACGCCACUGUUAAACCCACACUGUUCAAGGAUCAACUGCAUAUCCUUAGCUGGCGACUUUCUAAUUUCUGAAUUCUGGGACAAAUGAACCAUUGCUGUAAAGGUCACAUUAGGUACAACCCUUCCUCACAUUGUGGGGGAAAUAUCUUCUUGUGGGACCCCCCCCAAGUUUCUAGAAUACCUGGUGUCCUGGGCUUUUUUACUUGAUAGAGAAAAUCACUGCAGAAAGAUGAAGGUUGGGUGAGAACUGGCUAACCAGCAAACCAAUUCAAGGCAAAGAGGUGAAUUAACGAAGUUAAGGAUCUGGAAUCAGAUCCCAUGAAGCUAUUCAGGCCAUAAACUUCCAUUAAAGCCUUGUGUCCCCCACUAAAGAUACUCACACCCAGAUCAGUCUAAAUUGCUUCCUGAUGAGUUCCUCACAAAACUCCUUAUCCUGUUCUUAGAACACCAGUUUACGCCAACAUGCCAGGUUGAAUUAACCUAAUACAGAUGCUUUAACUCCUCUCCCCCAUAGCUAUGCAAAUUGGGGAGGUCAAAGACAGAAAUGUAAGAGAAACACAGGAGUUGAGGUUUAACUUACAUAACCACCCUGGCCUCCAUGAAAAAGACUAUGUGACACUCCAGAGUUCAAUAUGUGGUGAAGUUACAGUUCCUGUAACAUACACAACCCCCAUUAUAUCUGGCAACACACACUCAACAUGCCAUAUUAAGUAUAGUCUCCAUUUUAUUGUCUUUUUAAAGGAUAGAAUUCCUUCAGUCUCUAAGAACUCAGUUCCUUACAUGGGCUUUGGUGGAGGUCGUGGGGCAGCACCCUGAAAGACAAAAAAAAUGGAACAGUAAAUUAAAGAGUCUCCCUUAAAGAACUUGACCACUGCCCUCCUACCACUAACAAUGUAUCUGGGCCAUAAAUGCAUGGAAAACCAACACACAUCAAAGAUUACGCUACUCAAUCUGAACCAGAUUCUAACCACUUUUGAUAUUCCUUGAGUCCUCGUAUGUGUCUUUCCCCCAUCACCCCUCUGGCUCCCACACCUUUUACAUACUCACCGCAGGUCUAAAUCGGGGUGGAGGUGUUCUAUCCUUCCGGGCUUCACGAGAACGAUUCCUGACUACCUUGCUGUGAAUGGCACAACUCACGCAAUAAUGUAGUUUCACAUACAGCUUGGGAAGCACAUAGGCUAAGAAACAGAAAAUUUAGAGGUAUGAUAUCAUGUAUUGCACACCCACCUCACGCAGUUCUUUCUUGUUCAUUCUAUCAGGCAAAAGUAAACAUACCCAGGAGUUCCCUGGUGGCCCCGCAGGUUAGAGACCUGGAAUUGUCACUGCUAUGGUGCAGGUUCAACCCCUGGCCUGGGAAGUUCUCAAGUUCGGUCAUUUUUGGGGGGGGGGGGGGGGAGUAAACAGGAGUUCCCGUCGUGGCUCAGUGAUUAACGAAUC
rnacentral:lncRNA from 1 species